CACACGACUCUCGGCAACGGAUAUCUCGGCUCUCGCAUCGAUGAAGAACGUAGCGAAAUGCGAUACCUGGUGUGAAUUGCAGAAUCCCGCGAACCAUCGAGUCUUUGAACGCAAGUUGCGCCCGAGGCCGCUUGGCUGAGGGCACGCCUGCCUGGGCGUCACG
rnacentral:rRNA from 1 species